rnacentral:sRNA from 1 species
AAAAAUCCUACUAUAUUAUUUGGGAAGUACAUUUUAAAUGUAACCUUAAUUUUUGUAAGUAAUUACAUAGGUAUGCCAUUAAAAACAAAAAAUUAAAGAGUAAAUUAAUUUAUCUCUUUAAGGAUUAAAAAGUCAAAUACUAAUUUAAUUAAUUAAAUUUAAUUAAAAAA